CCCCUGUUGCAAUGGUUAGAAAGGUGGGUUUACUUUUUCUCCCUGUCUGCACUGCACAUUUUUGGAGGAGCCGAUUGAGAUCGAUCUCAGCCAAUCCAAAUGCUUUCCCACAGGAAGCCUUGGGAGGCUUGUACACAUUCGUGGUAAAACACAGAGCUGCUCCGGUUAUAUGAUCUCUCUGAGAUCAUCUGAUGGAAACAGUUUUGUCCUCUUUCAUCAGAAGCACAUCUAGUGGAUGUCUGAGUGACAGCCAUUAGAGGCAUUUAAAC